AAUUUAAACACGGUGCCUGGACUAGACCAACAGAAUCCCAAAGGGAGGGGAGGAAAAGCCCGCACCAACACAUGCAGCUGCAAAAUUUACAAAAAGAAUGAAGGAAAGCCUGCUUGACUGCUCUUUGGAUCUUUCAGUGGGAAACAUUAAGGUCUGUUUGUAUUUUCUAUGGCACAUCAGAACUAGCCCUAGAGAAGAAAAAGAUCAGACCAGGCAGAGAGAUGGAACAGAAGCAGAAGCCAGCCGCAUGCCCAUUUGCCACUGCAGGCUGGCCCCGAACACCGACCCAAGCUACGAGGAAAGAGGAGAUUCAGCAGCAAGGCAGCUGAGAGUUCCAGGAAAUACACAGGAUUGGAAUUACCACAACUCUCAAAUUUCAGAGUCUCAAAUUUCGAAGUGAAGACUUAAGGCAAUGCAGGAAUGUCUGCUAUUUUCCUGUGAGCAAAAAAAAAAAAAUAUAUAUAUAUAUAUAUAUUAGCCUAUUGGUUUUUUUCCAGUCAGAGGGCAGAAAACAAAACUGCUUAAAGUUCAAAAGUUGCAUCGUGAUUAUCAUUCAAAUGUCAUCUGAUUUAUUCAGUCUGCACAUCACCCCCACCAACAACUCUGUCUCUUACUCUCUCUCUCUCUCCCUCUCUUUCUCUCUCUCUCACACACACACACACACACACACACACACACACACACACACAUUGAACUUAACUGGGAAUACAGAAAUAAAUAAGACAUAAACUCUACACAUAAGAAACUCCUUUAAGGGGCUGGGCACAGUGACUCACGCCUGUAAUCCCAACACCUGCACUUUGGGAGGCUGAGGUGGACGGAUCACCUGAGAUCAAGGGUUUGAGGCCAGCCUGGCCAAUAUGGUUAAAUCCCGUCUCUACUAAAAAUACAAAAAAUUAGCCAGUCGUGGUACCAUGUAAUUCCAACUACUCGGGAGGCUGAGGCAGGAGAAUCUCUUGAACUUGAGAGGCUGAGGUGGCAGUGAGCCGAGUUCACACCACUGCACUCCACCCUGGGCAACAGAUCGAGACUCCGUUUCAAAAAAAAAAAAAAAAAAAAACUGAUAAACUCAUUUUGGGAGGGGUCAAAUACACCCUUAUUGUACUUUGUACCAAUUACUGAGAUAGACCUCCGAGGAAAUGCCACGGGAGGCCAUGGGAGGCCAUGGGGGAGAGACUGGGCAAUGCAACACCCUAGAUCACAGAUUUUCCUGUCUU
rnacentral:lncRNA from 1 species